rnacentral:tRNA from 1 species
UGGGAUGGAGUUCAGUGGUAGAAUAUGUACUUAGUAUGUGCAAGGCCCUGUGUUCAAUCCCCAGCACUACAG